rnacentral:rRNA from 1 species
UACGGGGGGGGGCAAGCGUUGUUCGGAAUUACUGGGCGUAAAGGGCUCGUAGGUGGCCAACUAAGUCAGACGUGAAAUCCCUCGGCUUAACCGGGGAACUGCGUCUGAUACUGGAUGGCUUGAGAUUGGGAGAGGGAUGCGGAAUUCCAGGUGUAGCGGUGAAAUGCGUAGAUAUCUGGAGGAACACCGGUGGCGAAGGCGGCAUCCUGGACCAACACUGACACUGAGGAGCGAAAGCCAGGGGAGCAACGGG